rnacentral:rRNA from 1 species
AGUGAACGCUGGCGGUAGGCCUAACACAUGCAAGUCGAACGGCAGCACAGUAAGAGCUUGCUCUUACGGGUGGCGAGUGGCGGACGGGUGAGGAAUACAUCGGAAUCUACUUUUUCGUGGGGGAUAACGUAGGGAAACUUACGCUAAUACCGCAUACGACCUACGGGUGAAAGCAGGGGAUCUUCGGACCUUGCGCGAUUGAAUGAGCCGAUGUCGGAUUAGCUAGUUGGCGGGGUAAAGGCCCACCAAGGCGACGAUCCGUAGCUGGUCUGAGAGGAUGAUCAGCCACACUGGAACUGAGACACGGACCAGACUCCUACGGGAGGCAGCAGUGGGGAAUAUGGGACAAUGGGCGCAAGCCUGAUCCAGCCAUACCGCGUGGGUGAAGAAGGCCUUCGGGUUGUAAAGCCCUUUUGUUGGGAAAGAAAAGCAGCAGGUUAAUACCCCGCUGUUCUGACGGUACCCAAAGAAUAAGCACCGGCUAACUUCGU